UACUUUUAAUAUUUAAACUCGGAUUAUCCUGUCUCUAAAUGCGCGUUCCUAACCUUUGCCGGUGGCUGGAUGUAAUAAACCCUGGCGGGCUGGGCGCUCAGCUUCGGCUGGUCGCGCCGCCGCCUCCCGCCCCCGCCCCGCCCCCCAGUCCCUGCCCCUCCGCCCCUCGCCGCCCGCAGCGAAAGCCGCGCGGGAAUGAAAUCAGCGCCUCUCGGCAGCUGACGGCUGAGCAUCCAGGGCGCUCGCAGGAGGGGGAGACCGCCCUUUAUCCUGGCUGAAGAGUCCUCGGGGGCUGCAGAUGGAGACGUGCAACCCCGCGGCGCCCCGGAGGAAAAAGAACCCGGCUUCCUGAAAGCAGCAGCCCCCAGGCAUGGGAGGGGUGGUGGAGUGGAGUAGGGGGCCUAGGAAGUUGGGCUGGGCCGCCGUUGUGUAUGUGUGUGUGGCGGGAGGAGAGUGCACCCUGUCCAAAUGUAUAUCCCCUCCUUGCACGCCCCCUUUAAAAGAGGUCGUGGCCCCAGUUUGAGAAGAAGCCAAAGAAUUUCUGAAGCGAAGAGGACCGUUUGUGCUCCCAGGUAGUUCCUUAGGAGAGAUUUGGAAAAUAUCACCAAAGGGGACCAUACACUCUAUACCAGAAAAGUUCCCAAAGGAAGGGAGGAAGAAGAAGUAUAAGAAGAAGAAGAAGAAAAACCUCAAGUCUUCGUUUCUACAGCAGCAUGAGUCAAUCAAGAAGUCAACACUGGGAUCAUACACUCAAAACCAACCGCACCCAAAGCCACAGCAAUGGCAAUAACCACAGGAGAAUCCCUGAGGGCCACCUACGUGUGAAAAGAGCUACAUCCAGUCACUGGACUUAGAAAUAAAGAUGAUUUGGAUCCCACA